CAGUAGUCACGAGUUUGAUCCUGGCUCAGAACGAACGCUGGCGGCAUGCCUAACACAUGCAAGUCGAACGAGAUCUUCGGGUCUAGUGGCGCACGGGUGCGUAACGCGUGGGAAUCUGCCCUUGGGUUCGGAAUAACUUCGGGAAACUGAAGCUAAUACCGGAUGAUGACGUAAGUCCAAAGAUCUAUCGCCCAAGGAUGAGCCCGCGUAGGAUUAGCUAGUUGGUGAGGUAAAGGCUCACCAAGGCGACGAUCCUUAGCUGGUCUGAGAGGAUGAUCAGCCACACUGGGACUGAGACACGGCCCAGACUCCUACGGGAGGCAGCAGUGGGAAUAUUGGACAAUGGGCGAAAGCCUGAUCCAGCAAUGCCGCGUGAGUGAUGAAGGCCUUAGGGUUGUAAAGCUCUUUUGCCCGGGAUGAUAAUGACAGUACCGGGAGAAUAAGCUCCGGCUAACUCCGUG
rnacentral:rRNA from 1 species